rnacentral:rRNA from 1 species
CCUACGGGUGGCAGCAGUGAGGAAUAUUUGUCAAUGGGCGCGAGCCUGAACCAGCCAAGUAGCGUGAAGGAUGACUGCCCUACGGGUUGUAAACUUCUUUUAUAAAGGAAUAAAGUGAGGCACGUGUGCCUUUUUGUAUGUACUUUAUGAAUAAGGAUCGGCUAACUCCGUGCCAGCAGCCGCGUUAAUACGGAGGAUCCGAGCGUUCUCCGGAUUUAUUGGGUUUAAAGGGAGCGUAGAUGGGUUGGUAAGUCAGUUGUGAAAGUUUGCGGCUCAACCGUAAAAUUGCAAUUGAUACUGGGAGUCUUGAGUACAGGUGAGGGAGGCGGAAUUCGUGGUGUAGCGGUGAAAUGCGUAGAUAUCACGAAGAACUCCGAUUGCGAAGGCAGCUUACUAAACUGCCACUGACAUUGAGGCACGAAAGUGUGGGUAUCAAACAGGAUUAGAUACCCCAGUAGUC